AAACAUGCAGAGAAAGGGCGCGAGUAGUACUUAUGGCUUUGUUACAGAGAGCUGAUGGUUGGUGUAAAUCAGUACAAACAUAAGUAUGAAUUACACCCCUGGAGCAUCUUUUUCGUAGUAAAGCGAAAAGUCUUUAUGAAGGGAAAGACGGUCAUAGCGAUCGUUAAUCAUGAGAAGAGGUAGGCAACUUUAGUCUACAAUUAGGGUGGUACCGCGAUAAUCAUCGUCCCUACU
rnacentral:ncRNA from 1 species